rnacentral:rRNA from 1 species
CAAGAAACUCAAAGGAAUUGACGGGGCCCGCACAAGCGGUGGAGCAUGUGGUUAAUUCGAUGAUACGCGAGGAACCUUACCUGGGCUCAAAUGUAUGUUGACGUAUCUGAAAGGGAUACUUCUUCGGACAAUAUACAAGGUGCUGCAUGGUUGUCGUCAGCUCGUGCCGUGAGGUGUCGGGUUAAGUCCCAUAACGAGCGCAACCCUAUCAUUAGUUGCCAUCAGGUCAAGCUGGGGACUCUAAUGAAACUGCCUACGCAAGUAGUGAGGAAGGUGGGGAUGACGUCAAGUCAUCAUGGCCCUUACGGCCUGGGCUACACACGUGCUACAAUGGUCGGUACAAAGGGUUGCCAAGCCGCGAGGUGGAGCUAAUACCCAUAAAACCGAUCGUAGUCCGGAUCGCAGUCUGCAACUCGACUGCGUGAAGUCGGAAUCGCUAGUAAUCGUGAAUCAGAAUGUCACGGUGAAUACGUUCCCGGGCCUU